GACGAGCGCUGGCGGCGUGCUUAACACAUGCGAGUCGAACGGAAAGGCCCUGCUUUUGUGGGGUGCUCGAGUGGCGAACGGGUGAGUAACACGUGAGUAACCUGCCCUUGACUUUGGGAUAACUUCAGGAAACUGGGGCUAAUACCGGAUAGGAGCUCCUGCUGCAUGGUGGGGGUUGGAAAGUUUCGGCGGUUGGGGAUGGACUCGCGGCUUAUCAGCUUGUUGGUGGGGUAGUGGCUUACCAAGGCUUUGACGGGUAGCCGGCCUGAGAGGGUGACCGGCCACAUUGGGACUGAGAUACGGCCCAGACUCCUACGCGAGGCAGCAGUGGGGAAUAUUGCACGAUGGGCGGAAGCCUGAUGCAGCAACGCCGCGUGCGGGAUGACGGCCUUCGGGUUGUAAACCGCUUUCGCCUGUGACGAAGCGUGAGUGACGGUAAUGUGUAAAGAAGCACCGGCUAACUACGUG
rnacentral:rRNA from 1 species